rnacentral:lncRNA from 1 species
AGGAGUCUACAGUGAUGUUUUUUGGAACAUUGAUAUCUUUAGCUUUUCUAAGCACUCAAACUUACCAAGUGUUCACUGCUAUGGCAUUGUGCAUUUAUAUCCAUACUGCUGAUAAUCUUAUUAAAAUUUCACUUCUUUUUUUUUUUUUUGUCGACAGGCCUUUCAACUGUCCAAGAAGAAUCAACAGUUUUUUGAUGUGGAGGACUUCUCUAAUCUUAAAAUGGCAGACUUCUAUGAUAAAUAUCUGUGGUCGCUAAAUGUGUCUCACACAAUUAUGGAAAUCAGCUUUUUGUCUGGACAGUUAUUUAAUUCACAGUCAUCAUCCUUUCGUAAGAAUUUUGAAAGUGUUUGUUUUAGUGCACUAUCUUGCUUAUCUUGUUGUUG